rnacentral:lncRNA from 1 species
GACGUGCGCCCUCGUCUGUCGCUAGGAAUAUUGGAGCGAAUGUGUCGUCUUCUGUUCACGCGGUCCGUUUGUAACAUUUGAGAGCGAGCGAGAGUAGCAAAUGUGCAAGGCGGGGAGAGGGAGGGAGGAGAGCGAGUGCGCAAAUAAGGCACAGCAGCACCAGCGGCGGCAGCAGCGUCAAUGCAUCUGUGACUCUUCGAAUCGGUUGUCUCGAGCUGCCAAUCCUCUGUACAUUUCAGAUUGAGAUUUCACAGGCUAAGAUCUUGAGGACCCCUCGCCAUCAACCGACACACUUCCCGGAGCUCAGUGUUUAAUGUUAGCUCGGCUGUAAGAGACUAUUCUAACGGCCCUGUUCUAUUUAUCCCAGUUUCUUCAAUAUUUAAUGGAAAAUGGCGAACUGCGCUCAGUCCUAUGGUAUCUUCUGUCUGUUCUCAAUCCAAACUAUACUCAUCAUUAGCGUCUCUUCUCCCGCAACGGGGAACCACCGCUUCCCCCAACAUUACACAAUGAUGCACUGGGCCGAUCGCAUUGAGAAGGAUCUGGAGAGGACUCUGCAACUCAUCACUGGAACCCAGCAGAUGAGAGGGGUAUGUACACAAGAACUUGACUGUCUCGCUCAUGCUCUCUCUCUUUCUACCUUAACUCCC